AGCUGCCAUUUUAGCUGAGGGCAUCUUGGAUUCAAUCAUAUGAAAAGUAAUGGGAGACAGCAGCCAUUUUGAAGCAGUUUGCUGCCCAGCUUCUAGAGACAAAAAUCUUUAAAGAAACAAAACAAAACAAACCCUAAACUUUUAACCAGGAGGGAUCCUAGAGGCAGUGGAACUGGAGCGGAUCCAAGACUCAGGUGGAAGAGACAGGGAGUACUUCUGGAGCCCACAAAGGGGGUCCACAUCAGCUGCACAUUGCAAAGUCCAGCUCCCCAAAGGAACUGGAGAAUCACCACACAGCCAGGCUGGCGUCUGUGCAGGAAAAGGUCCCAGGAUUUCAACUUCAUCUUCGCUCGACUGACAACAGCUACAGUCAAAACACUUCUGACAACAAUUUCUACAAGUCCAUCUGCACAGCAAGAGAUCCGAG